AGAAUCAACGCUGGCGGCGUGCCUAACACAUGCAAGUCGAACGAGAAAGUGGAGCAAUCCAUGAGUACAGUGGCGUACGGGUGAGUAACACGUGACUACCUACCCUCGAGUGGGGAAUAACCUCGGGAAACCGGGGCUAAUACCGCAUAAUGUCUUCGGACCAAAUGCGUAAGCAGCUUGAGGAGGGGGUCGCGGCCGAUUAGCUAGUUGGUGAGGUAAUGGCCCACCAAGGCAAUGAUCGGUAGCCGGCCUGAGAGGGCGCACGGCCACACUGGAACUGAAACACGGUCCAGACUCCUACGGGAGGCAGCAGUGGGGAAUUUUGCGCAAUGGGGGAAACCCUGACGCAGCAACGCCGCGUGGAGGAUGAAGCCCCUUGGGGUGUAAACUCCUUUCGAUCGGGACGAUUAUGACGGUACCGGAUGAAGAAGCACCGGCUAACUCUGUGCCAGCAGCCGC
rnacentral:rRNA from 1 species